AUCCUUUCUUUGGCUCAUGAGCACGAUGCUUGAGUGUUCACACUGUUGAGUGGCAUGUGUUGCCCACAAACCUUGAUACCACAUAAGAACGAUACCCAUCUGGUG